CCUACGGGUGGCAGCAGUGGGGAAUAUUGGGCAAUGGGCGCAAGCCUGACCCAGCAACGCCGCGUGAAGGAAGAAGGCUUUCGGGUUGUAAACUUCUUUUCUUAGGGACGAAGCAAGUGACGGUACCUGAGGAAUAAGCCACGGCUAACGACGGGCCAGCAGCCGCGGUAAGACGUAGGGGGCAAGCGUUAUCCGGAUUUACUGGGUGUAAAGGGCGUGUAGGCGGGAUAGCAAGUCAGAUGUGAAAUCCUAGGGCUCAACCUGUGGCCUGCAUUUGAAACUGUUUUGCUUGAGUACUGGAGAGGCAGGCGGAAUUCCUGGGGUAGCGGUGAAAUGCGUAGAUAUUAAGAGGAACACCAAUGGCGAAGGCGGUCUGCUGGACAGCAACUGACGCUGAGGCGCGAAAGCGUGGGGAGCAAACAGGAUUAGAUACCCCUGUAGUC
rnacentral:rRNA from 1 species